rnacentral:rRNA from 1 species
UAGGGAAUCUUCCGCAAUGGGCGAAAGCCUGACGGAGCAACGCCGCGUGAGUGAUGAAGGUCUUCGGAUCGUAAAACUCUGUUAUUAGGGAAGAACAUAUGUGUAAGUAACUGUGCACAUCUUGACGGUACCUAAUCAGAAAGCCACGGCUAACUACGUGCCAGCAGCCGCGGUAAUACGUAGGUGGCAAGCGUUAUCCGGAAUUAUUGGGCGUAAAGCGCGCGUAGGCGGUUUUUUAAGUCUGAUGUGAAAGCCCACGGCUCAACCGUGGAGGGUCAUUGGAAACUGGAAAACUUGAGUGCAGAAGAGGAAAGUGGAAUUCCGUGUGUAGCGGUGAAAUGCGCAGAGAUAUGGAGGAACACCAGUGGCGAAGGCGACUUUCUGGUCUGUAACUGACGCUGAUGUGCGAAAGCGUGGGGAUCAAACA